UUGACGGGACCGCGACAAGCGGUGGAUGAUGUGGAUAAUUCGAUGCAACGCGAAAACCUUACCUACGCUUGACAUGUCAGGAACCUCGAAGAGAUUUGAGGGUGCCCGAAAGGGAACCUGGACACAGGUGCUGCAUGGCUGUCGUCAGCUCGUGUCGUGAGAUGUUGGGUUAAGUCCCGCAACCGAGCGCAACCCUUAUCAUUAGUUGCUACGGCAAGGGCACUCUAAUGAGACUGCCGGUGACAAACCGGAGGAAGGUGGGGAUGACGUCAAGUCCUCAUGGCCCUUAUGCGUAGGGCUUCACACGUCAUACAAUGGUCGGUACAGAGGGUUGCCAACCCGCGAGGGGGAGCCAAUCCCACAAAGCCGAUCGUAGUCCGGAUUGCAGUCUGCAACUCGACUGCAUGAAGUCGGAAUCGCUAGUAAUCGCGGAUCAGCAUGUCGCGGUGAAUACGUUCCCGGGUCUU
rnacentral:rRNA from 1 species